rnacentral:lncRNA from 1 species
GAAGUUAGAAAACAGUAGGGAAAACCCAGUUAGGCAAACUUGACAAAAAAGCACAUCACAUCAGUCAACAGCAAGAUUUGAAUACCUGCCAAGCACGACUUGUGAUUAGACAGGGAAAACAGCAUCUGGCUUAAGACCUUGAGUUUUGGUGUCAAGUUGAUUUGGGGAUCAUGUUCUGGGUUCUUACUGAGGGUUGUUAACCUGGCUCUCCCACCUACUAGCUGCAGGACUUGGGGUAAAUAACUCAGUAACUUAAACCUCAGUCUCUUCUUCUGUAAAGUGGAGCUAAUCAUAUCUCUUCCAUAAAACUGCUGUGAGUUUAAAUAAUUUAACUUAUUAAUGUGCAGAGACCAGGGUUGGCCAACAAAUAUUUACAAGUGCCUGUUAUGAUCUAGACAGUUGUAUAAGAAAUAGUUAGUUCUCUCAAACAGCACAUAGUCUAAAGAAGAAGAAAAGGACAAAUGUCUAAUUAUAACAUAAUGCAAUACCUGUUCUAACUGAGGUUGAACAGACUGCUUUGGGAGCACAGAACAAGGGACAUUUUCCAAGUGGAGUCAGACGAGGAUGCUGGUUGUCUGAGCCCAGGCCCCCCCACCCCGUUUUCAGCAUCAUGUCCUACUGAAGGAGUCUUUGAGCACCAAAGGUUCUGAUAAUCAGUCUGGCUCCCCACCUCGCAUUCAGUGUGAAAAGAUUCCAAACACGACUGGCCUCCUUCGACCACCCUGUUGGACCCACUGAAACCAGUCAUAUCUGGAUCUAUGCUCUUUUCAAAGACUAUCAUAAAACAGAUCCUCUCUCAAAGGACUUCAGCCACUUCUUUUAUUUUCUUGAGGGCCUUUGAGUCCACUCCACAUCACAGAGUCCUUCAGCUGCGAAGCAAUUCUUCCAUCAGAAGCUUCCUGUAAGGACAGAAAUGUCAAAAUCAAUUUUCUUGAAAAGAAACAAAAAUGACUUUUUUCCCCCAAAUUGUCUUUAUGGUAAAAUUUAUGAGAAUAGAAACAUAUCCCAAGGGGUGCGAUGGAAGGCUCAUUUGAAGGAUUAUUUUAAUCUGGACUGGAGAAAGCCCUGGAGAAAUCAGUACCAAAAACUCUACUGAUCCCCAAGGGACAGACUAAAUGUCUGAGUGUGUCCGCAUCUCUAACAGCUACCGUUCUUUUGCAAAGAGCUUGUUGUAUCUCACAACUAUUGUUUUAAUAAGAAAACCGAAAUACCUGGAGUCACGGACAGAGGCUGGCACAACAUAUUGCAGAGAGCUCCAUGAUGGGAGAGGCAUGCCCAGGUGCCAGGGAUUCUUGGAGAGGCCCAGAGCCCCAUUUAGCUGUCUGGAGCUACAGGGAAUGCUAAAAUCUUACUGAACCAUAUCUGAGAGCACGGCCCACUUUAACUUAAAUCACUACACAGAGCUCAUUACAGAGUGGUCAAAAUGUGAUCUGGUCCCUUUUCCACAAAAGAAGACGAAGUUCUGAAGUAAAAAUUAGAAAACACUCUCCCUCAUUCUGUCAUUACCCCCACUUAAAUAAUUUAAACAGAAUUUAAAAGUUGUCAGCAUAUCCAGGCAUAGUGGCAAGUACCCAUAGUCCUAGCUACUCCAGAGGCUGAAGCAAGAGGAUGGCUUAAGUGCAGGAGUUCAAGUACAGCCUGGGCAACAUAGCAAGACCCCAUCUCAAAAAAAAAAAAAAAAAAAAAAAAAA